rnacentral:rRNA from 1 species
UACGUAGGGUGCGAGCGUUAAUCGGAAUUACUGGGCGUAAAGCGUGCGCAGGCGGUUAUGUAAGACAGGUGUGAAAUCCCCGGGCUUAACCUGGGAACUGCAUUUGUGACUGCAUAGCUAGAGUACGGUAGAGGAGACUGGAAUUCCUGGUGUAGCAGUGAAAUGCGUAGAUAUCAGGAGGAAUACCGAUGGCGAAGGCAGGUCUCUGGGCCACUACUGACGCUGAGAAGCGAAAGCAUGGGGAGCGAACAGG